UACGUAGGGUGCGAGCGUUGUCCGGAAUUAUUGGGCGUAAAGAGCUCGUAGGCGGUGUGUCACGUCGGCCGUGAAAACCUGCAGCUUAACUGUGGGCGUGCGGUCGAUACGGGCAUCACUGGAGUUCGGCAGGGGAGACUGGAAUUCCUGGUGUAGCGGUGAAAUGCGCAGAUAUCAGGAGGAACACCGGUGGCGAAGGCGGGUCUCUGGGCCGAUACUGACGCUGAGGAGCGAAAGCGUGGGGAGCAAACCGG
rnacentral:rRNA from 1 species